UACGUAGGGGGCAAGCGUUGUCCGGAAUCAUUGGGCGUAAAGAGCGCGUAGGCGGCCCUGUAAGUCCGCUGUGAAAGUCAAGGGCUCAACCCUUGAAUGCCGGUGGAUACUGCAGGGCUAGAGUCCGGGAGAGGAGAGUGGAAUUCCUGGUGUAGCGGUGAAAUGCGCAGAUAUCAGGAAGAACACCCGUGGCGAAAGCGGCUCUCUGGAACGGUACUGACGCUGAGGCGCGAAAGCGUGGGGAGCAAACAGG
rnacentral:rRNA from 1 species